rnacentral:rRNA from 1 species
UACGUAGGGUGCAAGCGUUGUCCGGAAUUAUUGGGCGUAAAGAGCUCGUAGGCGGUUCGUCACGUCGGCUGUGAAAUCCCGAGGCUCAACCUCGGGUCUGCAGUCGAUACGGGCGGACUGGAGUACUGCAGGGGAGACUGGAAUUCCUGGUGUAGCGGUGAAAUGCGCAGAUAUCAGGAGGAACACCGGUGGCGAAGGCGACACGCUGGGCCGUACCUGACACUGAUGCGCGACAGCAUGGGGAGCAAACAGG